AGCUCUCUCAAAAAAGAAAUAUAAUGAAAACAAAAAUGGCAAAGAUAAUUACACUGGUAAUAUCAUUGAGAUCCAUGUAUGCAUGGCCACUGGGGUGCACCAUGCCACCAUCACAUCAUCUUCACUUUGAGUUGACCCACACCAACACAAGCCCAUGAGGUAUACACAUACAACCAUGCAUGAGGCCAUCACACACAUAUCAUCAUAUCUAGAAAAAACCCG
rnacentral:lncRNA from 1 species